CCCCUAGAUGUUCUGGGCCGCACGCGCGCUACACUGAACAGUUCAACAAGUCUUAACCUUGGCCGAUAGGUCUGGGUAAUCUUUGAACGCUGUUCGUGAUUGGGAUAGACCUUUGCAAUUAUGGGUCUUCAACGAGGAAUUCCUAGUAAACGCAAGUCAUCAGCUUGCAUUGAUUACGUCCCUGCCCUUUGUACACACCGCCCGUCGCACCUACCGAUUGAAUGGUCCGUUGAAAUCUCGGGACGGCGGCUUGGUCGCUUGCGUCCGACUGCUGAAACUUGAUUAAACCAUAUCAUUUAGAGGAAGGUGAAGUCGUAACA
rnacentral:rRNA from 1 species